GACGCCAUUUUCUUUGCUCGCUAUGCGGCGCACAUGAGGACGGAAAACGGUGAAAUAAAAUGUUUAAUCUUACUUAUUAAAUGUGUUUUGUAAUAUCAUAUCGUUUUAUAAAGAUAUUUAUUUGCUGUGUGCGUAUAAACUUUUCUCAACAACAUUUCGUUUCACUCGCGAUGCGGAACAGAUGAGGAUGUGAUUUAUUUUCUAUCAGGGAAAUCUGAAAAGAGAUAUUUUCUUUCACUCACGAUGGGGAGAAGACGGGGAAUUUGGUUUUAUCAAAGGAAAACAGCAUAAAAGCACUUUUGUGAUGCUGCAAGUGGGAGUGGAUUUCUUGCUUAGCUGGAAACUGCAGAGAUUCACAUCUUGUCGUCCUGAAAAAAAGAAAGAGACAACUUUCUCCAAGGAGGUCCAAACGCCAUUGGCAAAGACUUUGUUCAGUGAUCAGUAACACACAUUCAGCCAGGGCCGUCCUUAGGGGGGUGCAACUGGUGCACCGGGCCCCGCACUUGAGGGGUAAACUGACUGAAUGCCCCCACCUUGGGAACGUGAUUGGACCAUCA
ensembl:lncRNA